rnacentral:lncRNA from 1 species
GCAGGUACCAGUAGUGCGUUUCAGUUCCCCGGGAAAAAUUCAGAGAAAAUUAGGGACAGCCUGUAGGCGCACUGUGAAGCCGUGUUCGGACCCCGAAACGAGUAAGGACCCCUCACCCUAUUUCCUAUCACGGUAUUAAAGUUCAAAAUGAUAAAACGGUAUUUCUUGAAUUAACGAAUGUGUGAAAUUGCUUAAGGUGGCUAAUGGAGCCCGAGUCUAGUGUGAUUGGUGAUUUACUGUUAUUUGGUCUGUUUACAGCUUUAAAUGCAAAAUGAGGUUUGAUGUGUUCAUUUUACAGAUUUGUGUGCAUAUACUACGUUUUUAUUAACUAUGGGUUGAAUGACUGAAAAACUGAUACUGUAUGUUGUCUGUUUGGCAUGAAUUACGAUUUGCUUGUUUAAAUGUGAAUUGAUGAUGCUGACUGAGGGAAAGGAAAAUGAAAGAUUGUGUAGACUGAUAAUUGUAUUAUGGGGGUCAGCCUGACUAGAUAUCCUGGGAGAUGGUGGACGGACCGAGU